rnacentral:rRNA from 3 species
GACCCCAGGUCAGGCGGGGUCACCCGCUGAGUUUAAGCAUAUCAAUAAGCGGAGGAGAAGAAACUUACAAGGAUUCCCUUAGUAACGGCGAGCGAACCGGGAACAGCCCAGCAUGAGAAUCGGAUGGCACUCGCUGUUCGA